AGCUUCGCCCAGUGGCAGUAUCAUAGCCAGUGAGGUUUAUCCGUGGCAAGAUUAUUGCUACUUGGAAACUUAUAAUGCAACAAGAAAGGAGACCAUAUUUAAGUGCAAGUUUUCUUG
ensembl:snRNA U4 U4 spliceosomal RNA